GGCGGACGGGUUAGUAACGCGUGGGAACGUGCCCUUCUCUACGGAAUAGCCUCUGGAAACGGGGAGUAAUACCGUAUACGCCCUUUGGGGGAAAGAUUUAUCGGAGAAGGAUCGGCCCGCGUUAGAUUAGGUAGUUGGUGGGGUAACGGCCUACCAAGCCUACGAUCUAUAGCUGGUUUUAGAGGAUGAUCAGCAACACUGGGACUGAGACACGGCCCAGACUCCUACGGGGGGCAGCAGUGGGGAAUCUUAGACAAUGGGGGCAACCCUGAUCUAGCCAUGCCGCGUGAGUGAUGAAGGCCUUAGGGUCGUAAAGCUCUUUCGCCUGUGAUGAUAAUGACAGUAGCAGGUAAAGAAACCCCGGCUAACUCCGUGCCAGCAGCCGCGGUAAUACGGAGGGGGUUAGCGUUGUUCGGAAUUACUGGGCGUAAAGCGCGC
rnacentral:rRNA from 1 species